AUUGAACGCUGGCGGCAGGCCUAACACAUGCAAGUCGAGCGGUUGACGGGAGCUUGCUCCCUGAUUCAGCGGCGGACGGGUGAGUAAUGCCUAGGAAUCUGCCUAUUAGUGGGGGACAACGUUUCGAAAGGAACGCUAAUACCGCAUACGUCCUACGGGAGAAAGCAGGGGACCUUCGGGCCUUGCGCCAAUAGAGGAUCCUAAGUCGGAUUAGCGAGUUGGUGGGGUAAAGGCCUACCAAGGGGACGAUCUGUAGCGGGUCUGAGAGGAUGAUCCGCCACACUGGGACUGAGACACGGCCCAGACUCCUACGGGAGGCAGCAGUGGGGAAUAUUGGACAAUGGGGGGAACCCUAAUCCAGCCAUGCCGCGUGUGUGAAGAAGGCCUUAUGGUUGUAAAGCACUUUAAGCGAGGAGGAGGCACUUUUGGUUAAUACCCAAGAUGAGUGGACGUUACUCGCAGAAUAAGCACCGGCUAACUCUGUGCCAGCAGCCGCCGUAA
rnacentral:rRNA from 1 species